GGCUGCCUUCCUGAGUGACAUUGAGCACAUUCCCUAGUCCCUGGGGAGCUUUGCAGCCUGAAGCUUACCAGGCCUUUAAGCACACAGCACGUCCCAUGGGGGAAGCAUCAUGCUGGCGUUUACUGCAAGACAGAGUUUUGCACAAGCUUUUGUUGCAUCUGCUACUGAGCAAAUGGAGGCCUGAGGAAGGGUACUGUGACACCCGAAAGCUUACCUACGUCUAUCCCAACCACGCAGCUGGCCAAUAAAAGGGAUCUCCCACAAGGAUUCUUGCCUCUCAUUUCCUGGAGCAUCAGGUCUACAAUACCACUUCAACACCAAGAAAAUAAUGCCUUCAGGACCAAACUGAAGAUCUCUAUUAAAUAUGUUCGUUUUGUUCAGGCA